ACGAACGCUGGCGGCGUGCUUAACACAUGCAAGUCGAACGGAAAGGCCCUGCUUGCAGGGUAAUCGAGUGGCGAACGGGUGAGUAACACGUGGGUGAUCUGCCCUGCACUUCGGGAUAAGCCUGGGAAACUGGGUCUAAUACCGGAUAGGAGCCAUUUUUAGUGUGAUGGUUGGAAAGUUUUUUCGGUGUAGGAUGAGCUCGCGGCCUAUCAGCUUGUUGGUGGGGUAAUGGCCUACCAAGGCGGCGACGGGUAGCCGGCCUGAAAGGGUGGACGGCCACAUUGGGACUGAGAUACGGCCCAGACUCCUACGGGAGGCAGCAGUGGGGAAUAUUGCACAAUGGGCGCAAGCCUGAUGCAGCGACGCCGCGUGGGGGAUGACGGCCUUCGGGUUGUAAACUCCUUUCGCUAGGGACGAAGCUUUUUGUGACGGUACCUAGAUAAGAAGCACCGGCUAACUACGUG
rnacentral:rRNA from 1 species